rnacentral:ncRNA from 1 species
CUCAGGAUAGCUAGAGUCUUUAUCAGUUUUGUCAGGUAAAGCGAAUGAUUAGAGGUUCCGGGGAAGUAACUUCCUCGACCUAUUCUCAAACUUUAAAUGGGCAAGAUCCAGUAGUUACUUAAUUGAACUAUUGGGGUCAAUGAGACGACUCUAAGUGGGCCAUUUUUGGUAAGCAGAACUGGCGAUGAGGGAUGAACCUAACGCUCGGUUAAGGUGCUAAACUGCUCGCUCAUCAGAUACCACAAAGGGUGUUGGUCGAUCUUAACAGCAGGACGGUGGUCAUGGAAGUCGAAAUCCGCUAAGGAGUGUGUAACAACUCACCUGCCGAAUCGACUAGCCCCGAAAAUGGAUAGCGCUGAAGCGAGUGACCGAUACCGGGCCAUUGUUGCAAGAUAAUUGGCAACAAUGAGUAGGAGGGCGUGGGGGUUGUGAAGAAGCUUGGACGUGAGUCUGAGUGAAACAGCUUCCAGUGCAGAUCUUGGUGGUAGUAGCAAGUAUUCAAUAAGAGAACAUUGAAGGCCGAAGUGGGGAAGGGUUCCAUGUGAACAGCACUUGGACAUGGGUUAGCCGAUCCUGAGAGACAGGUUAAAUUCCAUCGGAUUGGAGCUUUGGCUCUGUUUCUCGAAAGGGAAGCUGGUUAGUAUUCCAGCGCCGAGACGUGGAUAAUAUGUGGCAACACAAGUGAACUCGGACACGCCAUAGGGGACCCCAGGAAGCGUUGUCUUUUCUUUAACAG